GAUGAAGAACGUAGCGAACUGCGAUAAGUAAUGUGAAUUGCAGAAUUCAGUGAAUCAUCGAGUCUUUGAACGCACAUUGCGCCCCCUGGCAUUCCGGGGGGCAUGCCUGUCCGAGCGUCAUUGCUGCCCUUCAAGCCCGGCUUGUGUGUUGGGUCGUCGUCCCCCCCGGGGGACGGGCCCGAAAGGCAGCGGCGGCACCGCGCCCGGUCCUCGAGCGUAUGGGGCUUUGUCACCCGCUCGAUUAGGGCCGGCCGGGCGCCAGCCGGCGUCUCCAACCUUCUAUUUUACCAGGUUGACCUCGGAUCAGGUAGGGAUACCCGCUGAACUUAAGCAUAUCAAUAAGCGGAGGA
rnacentral:misc_RNA from 1 species